CACAUCCUUACCUUACCCAUUUGCCAGAGCAAAUUUUUUCUUUUUUUUUUUUUGCCAUGUAAAUUUCUUUCUGCGCUCUUUGUGAAAACCUAAAUUUCCAUCAGUGACCGCAUUUAGAUUUCAUGAGAUUCUUAGUCACGAAUUCCUUUGAAAACCAAGUAAAAUGUCAAGAGAGAGAAGCAGCACCCUAUAGCCCCUCUUUUUAGUUCCACAGUGUGGGAGCCAAUUUUCUUGUAAUUCUGGAGAAGAAAAAAAAUCACCAUGUGGCUAUAAUUCUGAUGACUGUUUUUUUAGAUUGCCCAGAGACUAGCAGAUGCAGAAUGAAAUAAAUAAAAGCUAUUUUUUUCAUGUUUGAGGUGGUUUCCAAUUAAUACUUCUUUAUUUCUCUUUGCCACUCCACUUUUCCCCAGCCUUUCCUCGUAAAAGAAUACCAAUAACCUAAAUGUACUAUGGUGAUUGUAAAUACAAAACUGAUACACCAUUAGGCAAUUUUUCCUUUUUAAAGAAAAUGUUCUAUUUUUUCAUGAUCAUUCUUAGCUACUACCUACUUCUACUCACCAAAGUCAACCAUCAGCCAUGAGAAACAAUAUUGCGGCCACAAUUAAAACAAUGGCAGGGGCACGAACAACACCUGAGAAUGCUGCUCUGUCUCCUAUAUCUACUUCUCAUCAAACCCAACCCUUUACUAUUUGAAAAUGAAAAAUAUUACCUGUUUUGCUAGUAAUGAUCUUGUUAACUUUCAUUGAUUGACUUCCCAUGGAAUUAUUUCCUGGCUGGCAGGGAAUUAAAUGUGAUUUAAAAUUAUAAUGUGCUACCAAGUGAGUUUUUAUGUCCAAAACUCAUGAAAUCAUAUUCAUUAGGGGCUUUUCCUUUAUAUUCUGACUUAAAUGAAGACAAUGUUUUGCAGUCACAUGUAUUAGUAAAGUGGUGAUAAGGUAACUGAAGAGCUUGCCUUUGCCUCUCUGUGUUUAUCAACAUCUGGCAACAAAAGACAUCUGACCUCUGGUUGAGGCUAAGCAGAGGACAAAGUCUGGCAUUUGGGCUUCCAGUUAUGCCACACCCUGACUGAGCAAGGCCCUUUGCCUCUAGUAGCCUUGUACCUUCCCUCAGAGCAUGAUUUAGAUGACUUCCAAAAUUAAUACUAUAUUUUAUGUCUCACGUCUUGCCUAUUAUGUCUGGAUAUAACUGCAAUACUACAUAACUAUAUGCAGUGGACACUUGAAGAACAUGGGUUGCUAUGCAGGUCCACUUUUAUGCAGAUUUCCUCCUGCCUCUGCCACCCUAAGACAGCAAGAUCAACCUAUCCUCUUCCUCCUUUUCCUUUGCCUACUUAACACAAAGACAGCGAGGAUGAAGACCUUUAUCAUGAGCCACUUCCACAUAAUGAAUGGUACUCAAACUGUGGCCCAACUGCUGGUAGCAUUGGUAUCAACUGGAAGCUUGUUGGAAAUGUAGAAUCUCAGAUCUCACCCCGGAAUGGACUAUGGACUCAGACUCUGCAUUUUAAUAAGAUUCACAAUUCACAGUAUAAAAUAAUAAGAUGGCUGAUCCUGCAAAGAGGCGCGGUGACAUCAACAGUGACUCAGUCUCUAUGAUGGUAUUAGUAACUGGCAGCUGACUCUCCUAUUUAUCAUCAAGUUAUGUUCCAUAUAAGACUUUCAAGUCUGAGAAAAAUGACAAAUCCCUUCCAGGCAUGGUUCAAGUUAAAGCUGAAACUGUGUCUUCGUUUCAGCUCAAGAGAGGUUUUGAUUCUGUCGUGGCUUUUCCUUGUGUAUUGGUUGAGGAACUGUGCCUUGGAGGGGUAGGGAGUCUUGAGAAUGGAUCAACUGAUGGAGGGGGAGUGGAAGACAUUGGUCGCCCAAGAAAAUAUGUCAACAUCUGUCCAUCACCGCAACUCUGGCCCGAUUAUCAUUUUUUCUGCUUCUGUAAGCACCAAUGAGACAAUGCCACUGAGCCACAUCCUUUGUUGCCUGCAGUAUUUCCCACCACUGUGCCACCUCUGAUAUGCUAAUGGAGAAGCCCAGGGUUUUGUGUGGCUGAAAAGCCUUUCAGGCACAAUCAGUGGGUCAACAAUCUCAACUCUGUACAGCAGCUCAGCCUGCUGUGUGAGAGACUCCUCUUUCGGAGGGGUCCUUCCUCACACCUUUUCUGUGAGUGUGUCUGUGCUUAAGGAAGGGCAAUUAACCAUCUGGCUGCUUGUCCCCUAGAGAAAUUGACAGAACAUCAAACAGAACAAACUCAUACCUUGAAAAUUGCCGAGUGGCACAUGACUAUCCAGUUCACUCUGGGGAGAAGCCACUAACCAAUGGUCUGUAUCUAAAAAUGACCCAGUGGCCCCAGUUUGUAGUAAAACUUUGAUGAUAGAACUCCAUGCAAAUUCUAUCUCCAUAAUGCUGGUUCUUGAUGUAAAUCUCCCAAUGUAACUGUCAAGGUUUAAAAAUAUCUUACGUAGGUGUUCAGAAUCAUAAGGUCAUAGAAUUAUAAAAUGUUAACUGGCAGAAGUAUUUUCUUCUUUGUCAUAUGAAAAAGAGUAAUUUGCUCAUACUAAGUCUUCAAUAUUUAUGUAUUGGAUUGCAAUUAACAGGAAUCAAAGGAAUCUUAUAAGGAUCAUUUAUCUAGAAUUAUCUCUGUUUUCUAGAAUUACUUAAUGAUCAUUGUGUCUUUAUUCAGCCUAAGUAACACUGAAAUUUUUCUUCAUUCAAAUAAAUUCAUACUCAUAAAGCCUUUCCCCACUUUGCAUUUCAUAUUCUAAAUGUUUCUACUAGUAUUGUUAACCAUUGCAAAGAAAUACUGUUGCCCUCCAUUAAAACCUGAACUGCU